CAAUAGCGUAUAUUUAAGUUGUUGCAGUUAAAAAGCUCGUAGUUGGACCUUGGACCUGGACAGGCGGUCCGCCUCACGGCGAGUACUGUCUUGCUGGGUCUUUCCUCUUGGUGAUCUGUUGUUUCGGCAGCAGGGAACCAGGACCUUUACUUUGAAAAAAUUAGAGUGUUCAAAGCAGGCUCGACGCCGGAAUAUAUUAGCAUGGAAUAAUAAGAUAGGACGUGCGGUUCUAUUUUGUUGGUUUUUGGAAUCGCCGUAAUGAUUAAUAGGGACAGUCGGGGGCAUUAGUACUCACAUGCUAGAGGUGAAAUUCUUGGAUUUUGUGAAGACUAACUUCUGCGAAAGCAUUUGCCAAGGAUGUUUUCAUUAA
rnacentral:rRNA from 1 species